AAGGGUCCCCUGCUCCUCGACGUCUGCCCGGCUCACCCCCCCGCCCCCAGCUCGGCGCUGCAGGCCGGGAUGGGAGGAGGAAGAACUCGCUAAAAAUUGGUCCAGCGGGCGGCGGACAAAAGUUUCCGAGAGCGCUCCACAGCUGGGCGGCGAAGCGGGCCCCGGCGGCCGGCCCCGCCUCGGAUGCUCCCGGCCUCCUUCCUGUGCUCGUGACGGCGCCGGGCGCCGAGGUUCCCCCCCACCCCCAGCGAUGCAGGCUCCGCUCCACACCGAUGGCUCCCACGAAAACACGUACACCGCCAACGGAAGGGCAAGGGAACAAUACGCGCAGACACAGCUCCGGCCCCAGCCCCCUCCUCCCCUGGUCACCCGGGGGCCGUGGUCGGUGUAGCCACCAGCCACGAGCCGGGAACGGGCAAGGGCGCAGGGCUGCCCGCGGCCCCCUCCCGGCCGGCGCCGUCCGCCGGGGAGGAUCAAAGUCCGCAGAGCAGGGCGCGGCGGAUGCUCCCACCGCGCAGCCCCGAGCGGGCACCCCCAAGCGAGCACCCCAGGCGGGCACCCCGGAUACCUUGCGGCGGCAGACGGGCGCCGUCAUCUCCGCGCUUCUCGGCCCGGGAGGGACUCGAAAGGCCCCGACCUUCCAGCUCUGGGGCUGCCGCCUGGGAGCAUGUUCUCCGUCCAACAAAUUCAACGCUGACUCGGCUUUUGUCACCUUCCCUUCCCCACACUCCACAACUGAUGCUUAAGCGGCGGCUGCCUUGCCCCCAAGAGGCCGAGGAUGGCAGAGGCCCCUACCACCACUGUGUCCCCACCCUUCGAUGGCACGCCUGAUGCUGUGUCAUCCACGUCGCCCUCCAAGGCGUCAGGGAAGCCACACGCAGUAUCUCUUUUUCUCAGAGAGCUCCUCUUUCAACGCCGAAAAGCAGGGGCCUUCCUCUGAGCUGCUCUCCAGCUCUAUGCUCCGGCUACCGCGCUUCGCCCUAGCUGCAGCGGCCCAAGGUAUCAUCCAGCCGAGAGAAACCAGGCCCGGGCUGUGCUUCCUCCAUAAAGCAGCUGACAUGUUUCCAACUGUUAAUACUUUUCCUACCGAGGUUCUGAAAAGUGGCCUGUUCUCGGCCUUUGGAAACAUCUCAGACAAAUAAAGGUGAGUGAGGUUGUGGAAAAUAAACAUCCCACACACCCCAAAUUCUAAAGAUGAAUGUGCCUCUUACUAGUUGCAGAGAAUACUACUGUAGAAUUAUGCAUUUGAGACUAGUUUGGCAAGAUGAUGUUAUACAUACCGAAAGCUGGCUACUCGCCACUUACUAUGACCUUUGACCUUGGCUCUGUCACACCAGCUCCUCAGAGGAGAUGCUUGUACACCAUACAAAGUUGCAAGCCCAAUCUUGGGCCUUUAAUUUUCCACUUUCAAUGGAACUCUGGUUUUCAAGGCUGCAGACAGUAGUGUCUAUCUAGGGAUGGACUAAAUGGAUGGAUUCUGGCCAAGACAGAACUCUCUAGAACCAAGCAAAAGCAGUUGGACCAUUACCUCUGACUUGAGAUAAGUAGGCUAAACCACUGCCCAAGAGGGAACUGAUUCAGCUGGCUGUUUCUCCACGUCCAGAGUCAUCAAAAUUAAGUAUUCAGAACCUGUUAUGUUUCCCAGGGUCUACUGUUUACUGAGGAAAACUCUACCCACAGAAACUUUAGCACUUGCAUUUUUCUAAGCCUCACCACCCCGCCCCCCCGCCAUGUCCUAAGUAUGUUAUCAAAUGCUUUUUUGAAGACAGGCCUGCCUGUGGAGGAAAUGGGCAGGCCUCUAAACAGGAGCAAUAGUUCACACAGUCACCAGAGAAUCAGUGCCUGGAGCUCCCGUGCUGUAGCGCGUUCCAAUGAGAAGGCACAGGAGGG
ensembl:lncRNA